CACUCCUACGGGAGGCGGCAGUGGGGAAUAUUGCACAAUGGGCGCAAGCCUGAUGCAGCCAUGCCGCGUGUAUGAAGAAGGCCUUCGGGUUGUAAAGUACUUUCAGCGGGGAGGAAGGCGAUAAGGUUAAUAACCUUGUCGAUUGACGUUACCCGCAGAAGAAGCACCGGCUAACUCCGUGCCAGCAGCCGCGGUAAUACGGAGGGUGCAAGCGUUAAUCGGAAUUACUGGGCGUAAAGCGCACGCAGGCGGUCUGUCAAGUCGGAUGUGAAAUCCCCGGGCUCAACCUGGGAACUGCAUUCGAAACUGGCAGGCUAGAGUCUUGUAGAGGGGGGUAGAAUUCCAGGUGUAGCGGUGAAAUGCGUAGAGAUCUGGAGGAAUACCGGUGGCGAAGGCGGCCCCCUGGACAAAGACUGACGCUCAGGUGCGAAAGCGUGGGGAGCAAACAGGAUUAGAAACCCUGGUAGUCCCAUGA
rnacentral:rRNA from 1 species